GCAGGCCUAUUUUCAGCAAAUGCCAUGUCCUCUCAAGUAUGACAAAAUGGAGAUGUGAAGCGUGGACAAUCAGUUGGCACUGCAGCCAUUGGUGGUCCAUUCAAGCCUCUGAAUCAUGAUGGAAAAUUAGAAACUAAUUUGAUGGUACAAAAUGGCAUUCUAGAGAAGGAAACACCUUGCCGCGGUGAUAGCGCCAGA